rnacentral:lncRNA from 1 species
UUCAGUUUUGUUGUUGAACAACACAGCUCUUUAAUUUGUAUAAACUCUCCAAUGUAACUGUUGAGUUUUCUAACUAUUAGGUAUGCUAUAUAUUUGUUUUAUCUUCUUCUUUUGGUGAGAUUUCAGAAAAAGGCAUUGAACCCCAUGCUUUCCAUCACACACGGUCCUUUGAAUUUCCACAUGAAUUUAAAUGUUCUUCAUGCAAGAAAAUACUGCUAUGGAGUCCUCUGCAGUAGGAACAUUUCCAACCUUGAAUGAAACCAAACUAUCCAUCAGAGAAAAGACUAAUUAAAAUAGACUUUGCUCUGGAGAUUGAGAUAGCACGCUCAUGGGCCAAGGGCUUGUUAACUCUAGAAUCCAUCUUCAAUUCAUUUGUAGUUUAUUAACUUCAUAAAAGGCCAUUGCUUUA